UGACCUCGGAUCAGACGUGAUUACCCGCUGAAUUUAAGCAUAUUAUUAAGCGGAGGAAAAGAAACUAACAAGGAUUCCCCUAGUAACGGCGAGUGAACGGGGAAGAGCCCAACACCGAAUCCCUUGGCGCAAGUCAACGGGAAAUGUGGUGUUAAGGUAGCCCUUCGUGUCAGUCUAGGCGUCUCAAGUCCACCUGAUUGUGGCUCAAGCCCAGAGAGGGUGUAAGGCCCGUAGAGACGCUCCGACUGAUUCCUGGGGUUUACCUACGAGUCGGCUUGUUUGGGAAUGCAGGCCAAAGCGGGUGGUAAACUCCAUCCAAGGCUAAAUACUGGCACGAGUCCGAUAGCGGACAAGUACCGUGAGGGAAAGUUGAAAAGAACUUUGAAGAGAGAGUUCAAUAGUACGUGAAACCGCUUAGAGGCAAACGGAUGGUGCUCAUACUGGCCUGAGGAAUUCAACUGUGACGGUGGCUGGACGAGCUGGCGUUCCGAUCUCUCUUUUGGGACGGGCGUCGGUUUGGCUAUCAGCUCGACAUGGUGCACUUUCCUUGGUGCCUCCGCCACGACCGACGACACUGGCUACCCGCGGCUGGGGUAAGGUGACAAACUGCUUCGGCAAUUUGUGUUAUAGACCCCGGCGUCGGACAUGGUUUGGCCAGGACGUCGAGCUUGCGGCGCCCGCUCCUUGUGGGCUCGCAUGUUGGCUAGCUUGGCUGCGCCGAUGCUUGCACUGGACAACCAGUACAGGUGACGGUUGUGGUCUUGUCUCUAGUUGGCCUCUGCGAGUUUGGCGCCUAUAGUCUGUGGUGUACUUGUGGGUAGACUAUCCGACCCGUCUUGAAACACGGACCAAGGAGUCUAACAUGUGCGCGAGUCAUGGGGAUUCUACGAAACCCAAAGGCGCCAGUGAAAGUAAAGGCCUGCUUCUCGUAGGCUGAGGUGGGGAUCUCGUGCAUCGCGAUUGGCGAGCGCACCACCGGCCCGUCCUAUCUGUCUCUGUCAGUGGGGCGGCGCAAGAGCGUACACGUUGGGACCCGAAAGAUGGUGAACUAUGCUUGCGCAGCUCGAAGUCAGUGGAAACACUGAUGGAGGAGCGCAGCGUUUCUGACGUGCAAAUCGAUCGUCAAACGUGAGUAUAGGGGCGAAAGACUAAUCGAACCAUCUAGUAGCUGGUUCCCUCCGAAGUUUCCCUCAGGAUAGCUGGCACUCGGGAAACAGUUUUAUCCGGUAAAGCGAAUGAUUAGAGGCAUUGGGUCGAAAACGACCUCGACCUAUUCUCAAACUUUAAAUGGGUAAGAUGCUCGUCUCGCUUAAUUGGAGGCGGGCUUCACCUCUCUAACGUGAAUGUGAGUGCCCAGUGGGCCAUUUUUGGUAAGCAGAAACUGGCGCUGUGGAUGAACCAAAACGCGCGGUUAAGGCGCCAAUGCGGAACGCUCAUGAGACACCACAAAAGGUGUUGGUCGAUACUGACAGCAGGACGGUGGCCAUGGAAGUCGGAACCCGCUAAGGAGUGUGUAACAACUCACCUGCCGAAUCAACCAGCCCUGAAAAUGGAUGGCGCUGGAGCGUCGGGCCUAUACCGUGCCGCCGUUGGGGCGAAGCAGACAAAUAAUCUGUGUGGAUGUCCCAACGAGUAGGAGGGUCGCCGUGGUGAGCGCAGAAGGUGCGGCCGUGAGGCCGGCUGGAGCCGCCACGGGCGCAGAUCUUGGUGGUAGUAGCAAUUACUCAAGUGAGAACCUUGAGGACUGAAGUGGAGAAGGGUUCCAUGUGAAACAGCAGUUGAACAUGGGUCAGGCGGUCCUAAAGCGAUCGGGUAACUCCGUACCUAGAGAGGGUGACAACUAUCACUUAACUAAAUUGUGACGUGUUAUAGCCCUCCGGAGCGAAAGGGAAUCGUGUUAAUAUUCACGACCCUUACCGUGGAGAUCGCCCCUUUCGGGGGGCAAGUGCGGUAACGCAAAACGAAACACAGAGACGUGGCUUGGAAGCGCCCGGAAGAAGGAGUUUCUCUUUUCUUUGUAAGGAAGGGCGUAACCCCCUGGAAUCGGCUUGUCCGGCGGAGAGAAUAAAGGGCGGUGGCUUCCGUAAAGCACUGCGCGGGUCUUGCGCUGUCCGGUGGCACUCUAAGUCGGGCGCCUUGAAACAUCUUGAAUAUCUGUGGGAGACACAGUGUGAUUUUCACGGUAGGGGCCUACCAUAUUCCGCAAGUCAGGUCUUCCCAAGCUUGAACAGGCCUUCUAGGUCCUAGAAACCAAUGUUAGGUAAGGGGAAAGUCGGCAAAAUG
rfam:Macrostomum lignano unitig_48854, whole genome shotgun sequence.